UACGAGGGGGGCGAGCGUUGUUCGGAUUCAUUGGGCGUAAAGGGUGCGUAGGCGGCGCGGUAAGUCGGUUGUGAAAUCUCGGAGCUUAACUCCGAAACUGCAUUCGAUACUGCCGUGCUUGAGGACUGGAGAGGAGACUGGAAUUUACGGUGUAGCGGUGAAAUGCGUAGAUAUCGUAAGGAAGACCAGUGGCGAAGGCGGGUCUCUGGACAGUUCCUGACGCUGAGGCACGAAGGUCGGGGGAGCAAACGGG
rnacentral:rRNA from 1 species